CAUGUGCCCCGAGCGUUAUCCGGAAUUAUUGGGCGUAAAGGGUGUGUAGGCGGUUUUGUUAGUCUUAUGUUAAAGCUCUUGGCUCAACCAAGAAAGUGCAUGGGAAACGGCAAAUCUAGAGGAUGCGAGAGGUGAACAGAACUCAUAGUGUAGGGGUGAAAUCCGUCGAUAUUAUGGGGAAUACCAAAUGCGAAGGCAGUUCACUGGUGCAUUCCUGACGCUGAAACACGAAAGCGUGGGUAGCGAAUGGGAUUAGAUACCCCAGUAGUCCACGCCCUAAACGAUCUUCUCUUGCUAUAUGGAGUAUCGACCCUCUGUGUGGCGAAGCUAACGCGUUAAGAGAAGCGCCUGGGUAGUACGACCGCAAGGUUA
rnacentral:rRNA from 1 species